rnacentral:rRNA from 1 species
AUUGAACGCUGGCGGCAGGCUUAACACAUGCAAGUCGAGCGGAGAUGAGGUGCUUGCACCUUAUCUUAGCGGCGGACGGGUGAGUAAUGCUAGGAAUCUGCCUAUUAGUGGGGGACAACAUUCCGAAAGGAAUGCUAAUACCGCAUACGCCCUACGGGGGAAAGCAGGGGAUCUUCGGACCUUGCGCUAAUAGAUGAGCCUAAGUCGGAUUAGCUAGUUUGUGGGGUAAAGGCCUACCAAGGCGACGAUCUGUAGCGGGUCUGAGAGGAUGAUCCGCCACACUGGGACUGAGACACGGCCCAGACUCCUACGGGAGGCAGCAGUGGGGAAUAUUGGACAAUGGGCGGAAGCCUGAUCCAGCCAUGCCGCGUGUGUGAAGAAGGCCUUUUGGUUGUAAAGCACUUUAAGCGAGGAGGAGGCUACCUGGAUUAAUACUCUAGGAUAGUGGACGUUACUCGCAGAAUAAGCACCGGCUAACUCUGUGCCAGCCGCCGCCGUAA